GACGAACGCUGGCGGCGUGCUUAACACAUGCAAGUCGAACGGAAAGACCCUGCUUUUGUGGGUUUCUCGAUUGCCGAACGCGUGAGUGACACGUGUGUAUCCUCCCCUUGACUUUGGGAUAACUUCUGGAAACUGGGGCUCUUACCGGAUAUGAUCUCCUGCUGCAUGUUGGUGGUUGGAAAGUUUCGGCGGUUGGGUAUGUACUCGCGGCAUAUCGGCUUGUUGGUGGGGUAGUGGAUUACCAAGGCUUUGACGGGUAGCCGGCCUGAGAGGGUGAACGGCGACAUGGGGACUGAGGGAAGGCGCAGACUGCUAAGGGAGGCAGCAGGGGGGAAUAUUGCAGAAUGGGGCGAAGUCUGAGGCAGAAAUGCCGGGAGCGGGAUGACGGCUUUUGGGGUGUAAACAGAUGUGGAAGGUGAUGAAGAGAGAGUGACGGUAAUGGGUAAAGAAGCACCGGCUAACUACGUG
rnacentral:rRNA from 1 species